UUUUUUUUUUGCAGAAGCGGAAACGAAUACAGAAACCCCGGAAACAAAUACGAAAACAAAUACUACCGGAAACAGACACAGAGCGAAUACAGAGCGGACACGGAAACAAAACAGUUUGUUGACCAGAACUUAAAAUCUCCUUGAAUCGUAGAGAAAUAUAAACAAAAAACAAAUAAAUUUAUGGAAUUGUUAACAUGACUACAAAAUAAUAUGGUUAUGUUAGCAACAUAGGAUAGUAUUGUAGGAGUACAUGACAAUCCCGUAUAGGGUCUAGUUGAGUACGUGUAUGGUAGUAAAAGGUAUAGGGUCUAGUUGAGUACGUGUAUGGUAGUAAAAGAUGGUCCUUAGAUGAUCAAUUCUGCUCAUUCUACCCAUUGUGUCAUUGUGUGUUCUUUGGUAGUUGGGCUACCUAUAGUAGAAACGGAAAUUCCAUAUUUACGAAAACGGAGAGUUCCGUUUCCACGUCUGUUCCACCGGAAAACACCGUUCUGUUAUUGUUUCCGUUUCUGCAUAAAAAAAUCCAUUUCCAUUUCCGUUUUGCAAAUUUCCAUUUUCGUUUCCAUAUUUCCUCUCUGUUUCCAUUUUUGGCCCGGAAAAGCGGAAACUUUCCACUCCAUUUUCAUCCCUAUCGGUACUGCAAAAUAGUUUUAGGGUUCCCCCUAAAACGAUUUUGUGGGAACUAGAAGGUCCCGGCAGAAUAGAUCCGCUAUAGUCCGUACUGCAAAUUUAAAAACUAAUUCGCGCUACAAAUUUCACAACACAACCGGAGUUCAUACAUAGCUUAAAACAUAGAUCAAACUACAAAUUAAACCUAGGGAAG
rnacentral:lncRNA from 1 species